ACGGAAAAUGGCGCUGGAGAAGCGGGUCGGAGACAAGUGCCAUAUACGCGAAAAAUCGAUUAUUGAUUUAGAAUGUGACAAGUUACUCAAAAUGGCUGGUCAUGGUAAAGUUGGUUACUCAACAUAACUGAUUGUGGUAAGAGCACUAAAGGUAUUGUUUAGGUAAAAGGAGGGAAUUUUAAUUAAUUAGUUUCACUAAUCCUAAUGUGACGUAUGACUGAUAACUUAUUCAUCCUAAACACGUACAACAGUUUCAUUGCAGAGCCUUCAAGUAAUUGUGAAAGGAUAUCUUUUCUUACUUUUAGGAAAUUUGAAAGAAACGUUUUACACAAAAUUGUGGAUGAAUUGUUUACUUUAUCAAACUGGAUAUUCAAAAUUUAGAAGAAAAUUGUUAGUCAGUGGAGCUUGCAGUUCUGAAGCAUAUUGGGAAGGAGUCAUCCCCUAAAUUAUGAUUUGCGUCAGGUGGCUACUACUUUUAUGGGGGGACAUGGUCUGGAUAGGAACGAGCACUUCUGGCCUUGCUUUUCAACCUCUUAUCUAUUGAAUCAAUAUUAAUUUGCUUUUGGAAUAUGAG